UACGAAGGGGGCUAGUGUUGCUCGGAAUCACUGGGCGUAAAGGGUGCGUAGGCGGGUUUUUAAGUCAGGGGUGAAAUCCUGGAGCUCAACUCCAGAACUGCCUUUGAUACUGAAGAUCUUGAGUCCGGGAGAGGUGAGUGGAACUGCGAGUGUAGAGGUGAAAUUCGUAGAUAUUCGCAAGAACACCAGUGGCGAAGGCGGCUCACUGGCCCGGUACUGACGCUGAGGCACGAAAGCGUGGGGAGCAAACAGG
rnacentral:rRNA from 1 species